rnacentral:lncRNA from 1 species
GAUGGAUGAUGUUGAUAAUAUGAGAUGGAUUUGUUGCUAGGGUUCAAAUUUCACCCAAUCACUCUCAUAUAUCUACUUUUGUUACUAAAUUCGCUUUAUUAUCAAAUUGUCAUGCAAACUUUCUUAGUCUACCCUAAACCCGAUUCCUCGGCGAAAAGAGCCUAUUACUAGUUAUUGGCUUACUAUCCCUAGUCUCCCCUAGUAAUUAGCAAUGCAUUUAUCACAGAAGCAAAAUACAAU